rnacentral:piRNA from 2 species
UUAAACAUUGUGGUCAUCAUUGAGAUAGG